rnacentral:misc_RNA from 1 species
ACCUGCGCGACCCACUUUUCAGUGAUAAUUUGCCUAAAAUCGCCUAAUUUGUAUCGCUAUGUUAGCGAAUGAGUAGUUUUUAUUUGUUCGAUAAAAACCUUGUUUUUUUGUAACAAAUGUGUUAAAUAAAAAGAACUUAAAACUUGCACAGAGAUCGUGUCGUAAACAAGUUAUUUGGGUUCAUUUUACUUUUAAAAUAAGUGUUUAAACUAUGAAAUGAAGAAAGAAAUCAUAAAAAAUAUUUUUGGAGGAACCAGAUUUUAAGAUAACCGUAAUUGAGUGCAAUGUGGGGCGCGGUAGCGGCUGCCGCGAGGCGAUGAUCG